rnacentral:rRNA from 1 species
UUGAACGCUGGCGGCAUGCCUUACACAUGCAAGUCGAACGGCAGCACGGGAGCAAUCCUGGUGGCGAGUGGCGAACGGGUGAGUAAUAUAUCGGAACGUGCCCAGUCGUGGGGGAUAACGUAGCGAAAGCUACGCUAAUACCGCAUACGAUCUAAGGAUGAAAGCGGGGGAUCGCAAGACCUCGCGCGAUUGGAGCGGCCGAUAUCAGAUUAGGUAGUUGGUGAGGUAAAGGCUCACCAAGCCAACGAUCUGUAGCUGGUCUGAGAGGACGACCAGCCACACUGGAACUGAGACACGGUCCAGACUCCUACGGGAGGCAGCAGUGGGGAAUUUUGGACAAUGGACGCAAGUCUGAUCCAGCCAUUCCGCGUGCAGGAUGAAGGCCCUCGGGUUGUAAACUGCUUUUGUACGGAACGAAAAGGUUUCUAUUAAUACUAGGAGCUCAUGACGGUACCGUAAGAAUAAGCACCGGCUAACUACGUG